ACAUGCGGCCUGUGGUCACCGUGGGCGCUUCUAGGCGAUCAGUCGGCGGAGAAAAAGGGCAGAGAAAGGAAGCUCGGAGUCCGGGCGAGGGUCGAGGGCUUUGAGAUCAAGCAGCUGCCGCCCCCUAGAAGCGACUGAAUCGCGAGCAGAUUCCUCAGUCAGAGCCGCUGUAGUAAACACACUUCAGAAACGUGAGGUGCCGGGGGUCACGUGGGGAGCGCGCUCUCCAAUGAGGACCCGGGGGCGGGGCCGAGGCCGCUGACGCGGCGGUGGCGGCGGAGUCACCCGGGCAGCCUCGGGACCGGUCACCGGCCGGCAACCGUCCAGCGGCCUCGACCACCGCCUCCGCGCUCACUCCUCUUCCGCGGGCCGAGGGACGGCGUGGCCGACUGUGGCUGGAUCCCCUCUCCUUCCUCUCGGUGGCUCGCCUCGGGCGGGCCGUUUUCUCCUCCGGGGCCGCCUCGGUGGGGCGAGGUUUCCGUGACGAACCUCCUGGGGCUGCCGGUGCCGGUCGGCGCCGUCGUGGCGGCUCGGGUUCGUGGAACGUGCUCACUCCCAGGGCUCCGAGGCCCUGGAAGCGAUGCGGCUCGUGCCGGCGGUUGCGGCGGGCGCCGGCUCCUAAAGGGCGUCGCACCCGGACUCCGCUGACGGCAACCUCCAUUCAUCUUCCAGCUGCGCCUCCAGCGUCCUCUCCUUCUCCGGCCCCUCCUCGGACUCGUUUUUUCCCUUUUUUCCCCUCUGCCGCCCUCUCCCCUCUCCUUGGGUGUGGCGGUUCCCCUGGAAGCAGAGGUGUUGGGUAUGAGCCGGCCCUUCCUUCCUUGAAUUUCUCGGUGGGGGAACUGGGCAAGGACUCGCCCGCCGCCGCGCCCCCGGGAUGGGGGUGAACGCCGUGCACUGGUUCCGAAAGGGGCUCCGGCUUCACGACAACCCCGCCCUGAAGGAGUGCAUUCAGGGCGCUGACACCAUCCGCUGCGUCUACAUCCUCGACCCCUGGUUCGCCGGCUCCUCCAAUGUGGGCAUCAACAGGUGGCGAUUUUUGCUUCAAUGUCUUGAAGACCUUGAUGCCAAUCUGCGAAAAUUAAAUUCUCGUUUGUUUGUGAUUCGUGGACAACCAGCAGAUGUGUUUCCCAGGCUUUUUAAGGAAUGGAACAUUACUAAACUUUCAAUUGAGUAUGAUUCUGAGCCUUUUGGAAAGGAACGAGAUGCAGCUAUUAAGAAACUGGCUACUGAAGCUGGAGUAGAAGUAAUUGUACGAAUUUCACAUACAUUAUAUGACCUGGACAAGAUCAUAGAACUCAAUGGUGGACAACCACCUCUUACUUAUAAGAGAUUCCAGACUCUUAUCAGCAAAAUGGAACCACUAGAGAUACCAGUAGAGACAAUUACUUCCGAAGUGAUAGAAAAGUGCACAACUCCUCUUUCUGAUGACCAUGAUGAGAAAUAUGGAGUCCCUUCAUUAGAAGAAUUAGGUUUUGAUACAGAUGGCUUGCCCUCUGCAGUAUGGCCAGGCGGAGAAACUGAAGCACUUACACGUUUGGAAAGGCAUUUGGAAAGAAAAGCUUGGGUAGCCAACUUUGAAAGACCUCGAAUGAAUGCAAAUUCCCUGCUUGCUAGCCCUACUGGACUCAGUCCUUAUCUCCGAUUUGGUUGUUUGUCAUGUCGACUAUUUUACUUCAAACUAACAGAUCUGUACAAAAAGGUAAAGAAGAACAGUUCCCCUCCCCUUUCCCUUUAUGGGCAACUGUUAUGGCGUGAAUUUUUCUAUACAGCAGCAACAAAUAAUCCACGCUUUGAUAAAAUGGAAGGAAAUCCCAUCUGUGUUCAGAUUCCUUGGGAUAAGAAUCCUGAGGCUUUAGCAAAAUGGGCAGAAGGCCGGACAGGCUUUCCAUGGAUUGAUGCCAUCAUGACACAGCUUCGUCAGGAGGGUUGGAUUCACCAUUUAGCCAGACAUGCAGUGGCUUGCUUCCUGACCCGGGGUGACCUGUGGAUUAGUUGGGAAGAAGGAAUGAAGGUAUUUGAAGAAUUAUUGCUUGAUGCAGAUUGGAGCAUAAAUGCUGGAAGUUGGAUGUGGCUGUCUUGUAGUUCCUUUUUCCAGCAGUUUUUUCACUGCUAUUGCCCUGUUGGUUUUGGUAGGAGAACAGAUCCCAAUGGAGACUAUAUCAGGCGUUAUUUGCCUGUACUAAGAGGUUUCCCUGCAAAAUAUAUCUAUGAUCCCUGGAAUGCACCAGAAGGUAUCCAAAAGGUAGCCAAAUGUUUGAUAGGAGUUAAUUAUCCUAAACCAAUGGUGAAUCAUGCUGAGGCAAGCCGUUUGAAUAUUGAGAGGAUGAAGCAGAUCUAUCAGCAGCUUUCACGAUAUAGAGGACUAGGUCUUCUUGCAUCAGUGCCUUCUAAUCCUAAUGGGAAUGGAGGCCUCAUGGGGUAUUCUCCUGGAGAAAAUAUUCCAGGUUGUAGCAGCAGUGGAAGUUGCUCUCAAGGGAGUGGUAUUUUACAUUAUGCUCAUGGAGACAGUCAGCAAACUCAUCUAUUAAAGCAAGGAAGAAGCUCCAUGGGCACUGGUCUCAGCACUGGGAAACGUCCUAGCGAGGAAGAGGACACGCAGAGUAUUGGUCCUAAGGUCCAGCGACAGAGCACUAAUUAGCAACCUACUCUUUGGACCUGAUUGUACUGUACAGCAUUGAGAAAUUCAUAGACCUGGGAUUUGUCAUCAUCAUCCAGGGGAAUAAAAGAUUCAGGUUUUUUUUGUUUUUAAGUAGGCUCCACGCCCAGUGUGGAGCCAAAUGUGGGGCUUGAACUCAUGGGCCUGAGAUCAAGACCUGAGAAGAGAUCAAGACGGACACCUAACAGACUGAGCCAUCCAGGCGCCCCUAAAAGAUUCAGUUUCAAUGUGAAUAAAUAUUUUAGUAAAAGAACAUUGUUUCAGCAUAGACACUGAUACUUUACUUUUAAAUGUAGGGGGAUUUGGGCUUUUAGGGGGUUUUUUGGAAAGCUUUUUCAGUUCGGUCUAAAUUGUAACUAAAAAGAAUCACUGAAAGGGAAAGACAGGUAUUAGUGUAUUUCAGGUAAGCAGAUAUUUGAAUACAGUGUUUUCCCCUAACCAGAAGGGUUAGUUUCUGAAAACCCUGCUGGUGGUUGAGGGAUUUAAGACCUUAUAUUCAUUCAGGAAAUGUAUCUUGAAAUCUUAUUAACAAAACCUGUUCUGUUCUGCAACUUGGAAAAAUUGAGUUGAGGAAACCAAACUUUUGAAAGAACACAUGCAAAGUUUUUAUGCUUUUACAUUCACUUGAAAUAAAUUAGUAAAAUUGGGAUAUAAAAGACUGAUAACAGUAUAUUUUUUUAAAGAUUUUAUUUAUUUAUUUGAGAGAGAGCACAAGCAGGGGGAACAGCAGAGGGAGAGGGAGAAGCAGACUCCCCGCUGAGCAGGGAUCCCGACAUGGGGCUUGAUCCCAGGACCCUGAGAUCAUGACCUGAGCUGAAGGCAGAAGCUUAACCGACUGAGCCACCCAUGCAGCCCAUAACAAUAUAUUUUUAAUACAUCUCUUAAGUACUAGAAACUUCAGGAUCUUCCCACAAUUUCAAACAUGUUUGUAAUUUUCUUAUAGGUAAUAUCCAUAAUACUGGCUUCUUUUUUCCAUUUCUCCAUCCAAGUGCUUUUUUUCUGAUUGCGUGGUCCUAGAAAUUCACUAAAUACUUGGAAUGGAAAAAACUUUAGGUAGCCUUUAUUUAAUACAGUUGGCAUAGCUGACUUGGUCAGUUUCAAGUUUUGAUUACAAUGCACAUGAUCAUAUGUAUUACCAUUUCUUAUACAACUAUGUGGAGCCCUUGUACAAGUUAAGCUGCCAGCACCCUAGUGUACAUGUCUGCUCCCUUUCUCCUGACCAGUGAUUGCAGCAUGCAGUUCUAAAGUGCUUGAGUUUACAUUCCUUGACUGCCUUCCCUUGUCUGUAUCCUACUCUAAUUCCCUUUUCCUAAUGCAGUGAAACAUUUUGGUUAAUCCAGGUCCCAGAUCCUUGAAUUGCAGGAAAAAGUGUUCAGUAAAGCCAUGAAUAAUAGGAUUUUUAUAUAAGGAUAACUCAGAAGGAGAAGGGUCACUGGACAAGCAGCCCUAGCCUCAUAUACAUGAGCUACUCAUUUAAUUUUAGAAUGUCCUGGAAAUCAGAGUUGAUCUUGCGAUAAAGAGCUAGGAUUCUUGCUGCUGCUCAGUGUAAUUAAAGUGCAAAUGUCAGUCCAUCUCAAAAAGCCUAUUGAGCACAAACUGAAUAUUAAGGCUAGGCUCCAAUUAGCAUUUCCUGGGUUCCUAUAAUGUGCCAGAUACUGUUCAUAGGAAAAUAAAUCCAUAAGUUUCCACAAGGAGUUCACAAAGUGAGAGGGCAGUCUGGAAGAAUUACGGUGGUGUGUGUUCAGGCUGUUAGAACUGUGCACAGUGUGCUAUGAAACUCAUGAAGGGAGAGAUCUCCAGGCUGGGAAAAUCACAGCUUUCCCGACACCCAACUCUAUACAGGAGCAUAGGACAACUAGGCAGGGUCAGGGCACCCUGUCUUUGGAAACAUUUAACUCUAGUUGGGAUUAAUCAUGUUAUUGGUUGUUAAUGUCUUUGUCCUUCGCUGUCCUACAUGUAAACUCCAUCAGGACCGGGAAUGUACUUUAUUCCCCCUUGUCUUGUCCACUGCUGUCUUCUCAUUGCUGUUUCACAUGCUUGAAACUUAAUAGGCAUACCAUAAGUAUUUGUUGGUUGAUAGAUAAAUAUAAGAAUAAAUGGGAUAGACAUUGGACUGGCUUUAAGGAGAAAUUAGUUUAUGAGGUUGGCAUCACUGGUAAUAAUUAGAAUGUAAACCACUGGACAGUUUAUCGGAAAAGGCAAGUAUUUAGGCGAAAGUGGCAGGGGGAGGCUUUUAAAGACGUAUCAGACACAGUCGCUCACUACUGGGGGCGGGUGGGAGGAGUAGCAGUAAGGCUAGCUAUGUUCCAAAGAGGUGUUUUGUUUUUUGAACUACUUUUUUUUUUUUUGGUAAAUUAGUUCUUUACCUAUCGAAUUAUUUGGGGAAUUCUGAAUGGCUAUAGCUUCAAGAUACAGCGGUUUCUGAGUUACUUUUACGUUUUCUCUUAUGGGCUAGUGACAUUCCCCAAGGGACAAAACGACCGGAACUUGCUGGCAAGGAAAGGGUGUGAAAACGCCAGGCUCAAUAAUUGCUGCACCCGGCUGUUUCCGGGAAAGCUGAUUCCCACGCUGGCCCGCCUCCGUCGCGCAGCCCCGCCUUGCGUGAGGGUCGCGUGGCCUGCGUCCCGCACCUUGAUUGGCUGAGUUGGGACUGAGGGGGCGUACGUCUGCGGGCUCACGGGCGUCCUGUGCCGUGAUUGGCUGCGGGUAGAGGGCAGGGGGCCGGGACAGCAGUGCUGGGAGAAAUUAGCGGCCCUGUUGGCACCCUCGUCUUGGGACAUUGACCCCUCUUCCCAGGCCUCGGGAAGACGGCAGGCCACGGGGAACCUCGGCGGGGGGGAGGGAGGAAGGACGGGGCCAGGGACCCGGGACUCAGUGCGUCUUGCGCGGAGUGGACAGUGCCAUUGAAAAGUUUAUUGCAGGGAGGUGACAAGAUCACAUUUUGAGAAGAAGUUGGAGAGAAGCCCAAGUGAUUAACUGAAGCCCUGGAUGAGGACAGGAUCUCUGAGGAGAAACUGUAAGUUUUGCUGCUGUUAAUAAUCUUUAUGUCCUAAAAGGAGCAUGAAAAACUAAGAAGAUAAAUAUAUUUAGCCUUCAUUUCCUUGACAGAAUUCAAUCAUCACUCAAACAACCUUCUUCAUUUAAAGCACUGGUUCUCAAGAUUCUCUGCCCAUUUAAAAAACCAGGUUGUGCCUUUCUGCCCAUGGACAGUGCCAAGUAAGCAUCGUUAAAGUCUCCCCUCCCACCACUGUCAUGUCUAAGUCAGAGUCUCCGAAAGACCCUGAACAGCUGUGGAAGCUCUUCCUUGAGGUUUGAGCUCUGAAACAACCGAUGAGAAUCCAAGGAGCCUUUAUGAGCAACGGGAACACUUAUGGACUGUGUGGUCAUGACAGGUCCAAAGUUUGUCAUGUAUGCCACUGUGGAGGAGUGGAUGCAGCCACAAAUGCAAGGCCACACAAGGUGGAUGGAAGAGUUGUGGAACCAAAGAGGGCUGUCUCGAGAGAAGAUUCUCAAAGGCCUGGUGCCCACUUAACUGUGAAAAAGAUUUUUGUCUGUGGCGUUAAAGAAGACACAGAAGAACAUCAUCUAAGAUUAUUUUGAACAGUAUGGGACAAGUGAAAUGAUUGAAAUCAUGACUGGCAGAUGCAGUGGCAACAACAGAGGCUUUGCUUUUGUAACAUUUGAUGACCAUGACUCUGCAGACAAACUGUCAUUCAGAAAUCCCACACUAUGAAUGGCCACAACUAUAAAGUAAGGAGAGCCCUGUCAAAGCAAGAGAUGGCUAGUGCUUCAUCCAGCCAAAGAGGGCGAAGUGGUUCUGGAAACUUUGGUGGUGGCCAUGGAGGUGGUUUUGGUGGGAAUGACACCUUUGGUCAUGGAGGAAACUUCAGUGGCGAGGGGACUUUGUUGGCAGUCGAGGUGGAUAUGGUGGCAGUGGGGACGGCUAGAACAGAUUUGGUAAUGUUGGAAGCAACUCUGGAGGUGGCAGAAUAUCAUUAUUUUGGCAGUUACAACAGUCAGUCUUCAAAUUUUGGACCCAUGAGAGGAGGAAAUUUUGGAGGCAGAAGCUCUGGCCCCUAUGGUGGCGGAGGCCAAUACCUUGCCAAACCGUGAAACCAAGGUGGUUACGGCGGUUCCAGCAGCAGCAGCAGCUAUGGCAGUGACAGGGGAUUUUCCCUGCUGCCAGGAAACAAAGCUCAGCCGGAGAGGAGAGCCAGACAAGUGACAGGGAAGCUACAGGCUGCAACAGAUUUGUGAACUCAAGCACGGUGGCGGCAGGGCCGAGCUGCUACAAAGAAGACAUGUUUUAGACAAUGCUCAUG